AUAAGGGCGUAUGGGGGAUGCCUAGGCUCUCAGAGGCGAAGAAGGACGUGAUAAGCUGCGAAAAGCUUCGGGUAGCUGCAAAUAAGCGAUAAUCCGGAGAUAUCCGAAUGGGGCAACCCACCAGGUUGAAGGCCUGGUAUCCCGACAAUAGUUGGGAGGCGAACCCGCUGAACUGAAACAUCUAAGUAAGCGGAGGAAAAUAAAACAAUAGUGAUUUCCCAAGUAGUGGCGAGCGAACGGGAAACAGCCCAAACCCACGAUGUUACGGCAUUUUGGGGGUUGUAGGACUGCGACAUUGGACAUAUAUAAUAUAACAGAACACAGCUGGAAAGCUGGACCAUAGAGGGUGAUAGUCCUGUAGGCGAAAUGUUGUAUAUGACAUAGUAGAAUCCUGAGUAAGGCGGGACCGGAGAAAUCCUGUCUGAAUCUGGCGGCACCAUCCGCUAAGGCUAAAUACUACUGAGAGACCGAUAGUGAACCAGUACCGUGAGGGAAAGGUGAAAAGAACCGCGAACAGCGGAGUGAAAUAGACCCUGAAACCAUACGCUUACAAGCGGUCGGAGCGUUGAUUUAUCAAUGUGACGGCGUGCCUUUUGCAUAAUGAGCCUACGAGUUACUCCUCACUGGCAAGGUUAACCCCGUUGACGGGGGCAGCCGAAGCGAAAGCGAGUCUGAAUAGGGCGAUUAUAGUCAGUGGGGGUAGACGCGAAACUUUGUGAUCUACCCAUGGCCAGGUUGAAGUGUAGGUAACACUACAUGGAGGACCGAACCCGUUGUCGUUGAAAAGACUUGGGAUGAGCUGUGGGUAGGGGUGAAAGGCUAAUCAAACUGAGAGAUAGCUCGUACUCCCCGAAAUGCCUUUAGGGGCAGCCUCGCUGUAUAGUGUCAUAGAGGUAGAGCUACUGAUUGGGCUAGGGGGCUUCACCGCCUACCAAACCCUGACAAACUCCGAAUGCUAUGACAUGUUAAGCGGGAGUGAGGGCGUGGGUGCUAAGGUCCACGCCCGAGAGGGAAAGAACCCAGAUCAUCAGCUAAGGUCCCCAAAUAUAUGCUAAGUUGAACAAACGCGGUCUGAUUGCAUAGACAGCUAGGAUGUUGGCUUGGAAGCAGCCAUUCAUUUAAAGAGUGCGUAACAGCUCACUAGUCGAGCGAUCGGGCAUGGAUAAUAACCGGGCAUUAAGCAUAUUACCGAAGCUAUGAAUUUUAACAGUUAAUGUUAGAGUGGUAGGGGAGCAUUCCAGUCAGCGUCGAAGGUAUGUUGUAAAGCAUGCUGGAGCGUCUGGAAAAGCAAAUGUAGGCAUAAGUAACGAUAAUGCGGGCGAGAAACCCGCACACCGGAAGACUAAGGUUUCCUGAUCAACGUUAAUCGGAUCAGGGUUAGUCGGGUCCUAAGGCGACCCUACUGUAGUGGUAGGUUAGUCGAUGGCCAACUGGUUAAUAUUCCAGUACUGACCGGUAUUGCGAUGGAGUGACGGAGUAGUGACAGCAUCGCCCACUGACGGAAUAGUGGGUUGAAGGGGCGUAGGUAAACUUUUUGCAGGCAAAUCCGCAGAGAGUGCCGAACCCUGAUAGUACCGGGCGUUUUCGGACAACCGGAUAGUAUGUGUAAUCAGACUUCCAAGAAAACCUUCUAAGCAUCAGAUACCGGCCACCCGUACCGUAAACCGACACAGGUAGUCGAGGAGAGUAUCCAAAGGUGCUCGAGUGAUCCAUGGCUAAGGAACUAGGCAAAUUAACCCUGUAACUUCGGGAGAAAGGGUCCCUACCAGUGAUGGUAGGGCGCAGAGAAAUGGCCCAGGCGACUGUUUAUCAAAAACACAUGGCUUUGCAAAAUCGUAAGAUGACGUAUAAGGCCUGACACCUGCCCGGUGCUGGAAGGUUAAAAGGAGAUGUUAGUCGCAAGGCGAAGCAUUGAAUUGAAGCCCCAGUAAACGGCGGCCGUAACUAUAACGGUCCUAAGGUAGCGAAAUUCCUUGUCGGGUAAGUUCCGACCUGCACGAAUGGUGUAACGAUCUGGGCACUGUCUCAGCCAUGAGCUCGGUGAAAUUGUAGUAACGGUGAAGAUGCCGUUUACCCGCAACGGGACGGAAAGACCCCGUGCACCUUCACUAUAACUUAACAUUGACAUUGGAUAAACGAUGUGUAGGAUAGGUGGGAGACUGUGAAGCUGGGACGCUAGUUCUGGUGGAGUCAACCUUGAAAUACCACCCUUUGUUUAUUUGAUGCCUAAUCCCGCUAAUGCGGGAGACAUUGUUUGGUGGGUAGUUUGACUGGGGUGGUCGCCUCCAAAAGAGUAACGGAGGCUUCUAAAGGUACCCUCAGUACGGUUGGUAACCGUGCGUAGAGUGCAAUGGCAUAAGGGUGCUUGACUGUGAGACCAACAAGUCGAUCAGGUACGAAAGUAGAGCAUAGUGAUCCGGUGGUUCCGUAUGGAAGGGCCAUCGCUCAAAGGAUAAAAGGUACGCCGGGGAUAACAGGCUGAUCACUCCCAAGAGCUCAUAUCGACGGAGUGGUUUGGCACCUCGAUGUCGGCUCGUCACAUCCUGGGGCUGGAGAAGGUCCCAAGGGUUCGGCUGUUCGCCGAUUAAAGUGGCACGCGAGCUGGGUUCAGAACGUCGCGAGACAGUUCGGUCCCUAUCUGUUGUGGGCGUUGGAAGCUUGAGAGGACCUGACCUUAGUACGAGAGGACCGGGUUGGACAAACCUCUAGUGUACCUGUUGUGGCGCCAGCUGCAUCGCAGGGUAGCUAUGUUUGGUGAAGAUAAGUGCUGAAAGCAUCUAAGCACGAAACUUACCUCAAGAUGAGGCUUCCUUUAAGGGUCCAAGUAGAUUACUUGGUUGAUAGGCUGCAGGUGUAAAGGUGGUAACAUCAAAGCUGAGCAGUACUAAUUACCCGUAAGCUUUCUUC
rnacentral:rRNA from 1 species